AGUUACACAUUUGUAUCAUCAAUAUUGUUGAUAAAUUUAAUUACAUAUGAAGUUGAAAAUUCUUUAAAUGACUUUGAAAACUUGUAGUGGAAUGAUAUCCAAAUGAUAAAACAAAAAAAAAAUAGAAGCUCAUAGUAUGUGUGGAUAAUUACUUGAAAUUAAUUCAUCAAAGAUGUUUCUUUAUCAAGAUGGUAGCGUGGAAAUCAGUGCGUGAGUACUCAACGUAUGAGACAUUCAAAAAAAUUUUCUUUGAAAAUGAUGGAAAGGAAGAAAAAGAUGGAGAAAAAGUACUGAACUGUAAUUCUUUCCUGCACACAAGCCUCGUUAUGAUUUUUUCCAUUUUGGACACCUUUAUUUCUCUUAUCUUCUCCACAUCAUAUGAAUAUUUAUCUCAAUGAAAGUGUUGACCAAGUCACAUUGCCAAUAAAGUAUUAAUUUCUUGGGAUUUUACAAUAUAAAUGUCGGAAUGAGUUUGAAGAAAUGAUCAUCAAUUUGACGACUAUGAAAUAACUGGAGAUGAGGAGAGUAUCAAGAAGUAGGGAAAAAGAAUCAUCCUAUUUAUUUCCUAUCCAUGAAUUUACAUGGACACAUGAAAUUAGUUUAUAAUUGAUAUAUUAUUGAUAAAGUGAAUGACUUUUUCCUUAUUGAUUAAAAAAUUCAAAUUAUCAUCCAAUCAUUGGUGCGCACCUUGUGCACACAAUAUAUUCUAGUGUUUGAUGAAUGUCAAUGGUAUUUCUUGCGGAAUGUGAAUAAAAAAUUUCCAAGAAUUGAAUGAAACAACUGUAAUGGUGAUGGUGAUGGUUUAGUCUUGAAUCAGACUCUUCUGAUUAGGAGUCACCAGGUUUAUUGGCAUUCAACUUGCAAUCAAUGAAGAACCGUAAAGCAGACCACAAGAAUCCAUGCAGAGGUAGAGACAUGUUGCAACUCCUUGAAUCUUUAAUUGACCGCUUGACACGGAAAUCCUUUGGAAUAUUGCUGAAAAUCAUUUAUCAGUUAUUCAUCAGGAAUACUUAAUCAUCUUA